CUGCCUCAGGCGCCCAAGUAGCUGGGACUACAGGCGCCCGUCACCACGCCCGGCUAAUUUUUUGUAUUUUUAGUAGAGACGGGGUUUCACGGUGUUAGCCAGGAUGGUCUGGAUCUCCUGACCUCGUGAUCCGCCUCGGCCUCCCAAACUGCUGGGAUUACAGGCGUGAGCCACCACCCCCGGCCGCAGAAAUAUUUUAAUGCCAUUUUAGAAGGUGACUCAGAAGGUUGCUGGUUUUGAGAAGGCUCUACAGCAGGUGCAGGCUGUGGUCCAAGAGGACUUCAGCUUUUAGUAUAUUAUUGUUAUAACAUGCCUGAUAAUUUUGAGAGGUGAAGCCAGCUGGACUUCUUGGGUCGAGUGAGGACAUGGAGAACUUUUCUAUCUAAAGAUCUGAGGAGCUAUAAAAGAGACAUCAUACCAGACUCUACUCCAGAAUGGAAAUGUCCAAUGCCUAAUCAGAAGCCAGGGAGUAGGGUGAAUGCGAUAGAUAAGAGAUCAUCAUCCCAACCUGCAGCCCUCAUUACUGCUCGUUCUAUGGAGUAGUCAUUUUUUGUUUUUGUUGUUUCUUUACUUCUCUAAGAAACUUGCUUUUGCUUAAAAAAAAAUAAAAAUAAAGGAGAUAAGAGAACAUCCAAUAAAAGAAGGCAAAUGUUGUGUGCAUAGAGAUUACUAGGUUAAGGAAAGCAGGCCAACUAGCAUUAAACCAACCCAUACCUUUGUUCAACACUUAGAAUGAAAUCUAAAUUUAUUUCUCUGGCGUUGAAUAAGCCUAUGACAUCAACCUGAACUACUCUUCUGCUCACAGCAUUCCAGACACAUUGACUAUUUCAUGCAUCUUUGUCCUUAUUGCUAUACCUGGAAUUCUA
rnacentral:lncRNA from 1 species